rnacentral:lncRNA from 1 species
GAAGAGCAAAAAACCACGGAGAACCCCUCGGAAAUGCCCUCGUAGAUUUGGGAAUAUCCAGGUGGAUUUCCCUGGAAAAUCCCAGUUUUUUUUCCCUGUUUUCCAGCCUCGGGAAGGGCCCCAGCCUGGUGCUGCCGCUGAUCCUGCCGGGAUUCUAUCCCGAGCUCUCCAUGCUCUACAUGCUCCAGCACCAGCGCCAGGACGAGCUCUACUGCCAGGGAAUCGUGGAGCUCAGCCUCUUCCCGGAUAUCCAGCUCCUGGAAUUCCUGGAUGUGCAGAAGCACCUGUGGCCUCUCAAAGACCUCACCCUGACCUCCAACCAGAGGCGCUCCCUGAUCAAGGACAAAUGUUUCCUGUCGGCCACCGAGUGCCUGCAGAAGCUCAUGUGAGUCCCUGCCCGGCUCUUCCCGCUCAAAUCCAGGGAAUUAUUUUUGGGAAAUGCCAGGAAU